AAGCCAUGCGAGUCGAGAGGUGUAAGACCUCGGCAUACUGCUCAGUAACACGUGGUUAACCUGCCCUAAGGUGGAGAAUACUCCCGGGAAACUGGGGUUAAUGCUCCAUAGUGGAUAUGUCCUGGAAUGGUAUAUCCUCGAAAGAUCCGUCGCCUUAGGAUGGGACUGCGUCCGAUUAGGUUGUUGGCGGGGUAACGGCCCACCAAGCCAUUGAUCGGUACGGGUUGUGGGAGCAAGAUCCCGGAGAUGGAUUCUGAGACAUGAAUCCAGGCCCUACGGGGCGCAGCAGGCGCGCAAACUUUACAAUGCGAGCAAUCGUGAUAAGGAAACCCUGAGUGCCUGUCGAUACAGGCUGUUCAUAUAUCUAAAUCAUAUGUGAAGAAAGGGCAGGGCAAGACCGGUGCCAGCCGCCGCGGUAAUACCGGCUGCUCGAGUGAUGGCCACUAUUACUGGGUUUAAAGCGUCCGUAGCUUGACUGUUAGGUCCCUUGGGAAAUCUUCGCGCUUAACGUGAAGGCGUCUAAGAGAUACCGGCAGUCUUGGAACUGGGAGAGGUAAACCGUACUUCGGGGGUAGGAGUGAAAUCUUGUAAUCCUCGAGGGACGACCUAUGGCGAAGGCAGUUUACCAGAACAGCUUCGACAGUGAGGGACGAAAGCUGGGGGAGCAAACGGGAUUAGAUACCCCGGUAGUCCCAGCCGUAAACAAUGUGCGUUAGGUGUGUCGGUAACCACGCGUUACUGAUGCGCCGAAGAGAAAUCGUGAAACGCACCACCUGGGAAGUA
rnacentral:rRNA from 1 species